rnacentral:misc_RNA from 1 species
GAUGAAGAACGUAGCGAAAUGCGAUAAGUAAUGUGAAUUGCAGAAUUUAGUGAAUCAUCGAAUGUUUGAACGCACAUUGCGCCCCUUGGUAUUCCAUGGGGCAUGCCUGUUCGAGCGUCAUUUGUACCUUCAAGCCUUGCUUGGUGUUGGGUGUUUGUCUCGCCUCUGCGCGCAGACUCGCCUCAAAACAAUUGGCAGCCGGCGUAUUGAUUUCGGAGCGCAGUACAUCUCGCGCUUUGCACUCAGAACGACGACGUCCAAAAGUACAUUUUUACACUCUUGACCUCGGAUCAGGUAGGGAUACCCGCUGAACUUAAGCAUAUCAAUAAGCGGAGGA